GCCAUCUUGGUUUACACCCAGUGCAGUACGCGCAGCCAAUCCAAUUAUUACGAAGCAGAUUGAGUAGGGGAGUGGAAGACCGUGAUUUCACCAGCAUCACCCGUUCACGCUGCUUCUGAGAUCCUCUGACUGAACACUUCGGCAGCAGCUGAUGUGGAAAAUAGCGGAGACUUUACUGUAGAGACGGUGACUUUAGCCCUCACUUGUCUGUGGGGGAGAAAAGCCGGAGGAGGCAAGGGAACAGAAACGAACAACAUCCUUUUUGUGCUUCUGCGUUAUUGGGGGUGGGCUGCUCUCAGUCUUCCUGUUGUUUUCUUUCCGCUGUUUCCUAGCGGAGACCGGCAGAGCUGUAGUGGGAAAAUUCUUUGUUUUUUUCCUUACCUGUUCCUGUCCUGGAGGAGAGCUGUUUUUGUGCUGUGGUACCAAAGCUGAGUCAUCAUGUCUGAUCUGACACCUCAGAGUGAUGCCCCCACCCCCACCACUGACAAAAUCACACAGGCGGCAAGGGAGACAAUUUACCUUUGCAACUUUCGAGUCUCCGUGGACGGGGAAUGGCUUUGUCUGCGUGAGCUCAACGACAUCUCCCUCACCCCAGACCCGGAGCCGGCCCAUGAGGACUCAUGGGAGGAUUUCACAAGUUUGGUGGCGGAAAUGCAAAUGCUUGAUGAGUUUAAAGAUCCCAAGGAUCCCAUUGCAAUUGAGAGGCUCAACCUGAUGAAUAUGGCCAAGCUGAGCAUAAAGGGGCUUAUUGAGUCGGCUCUCAACCUUGGCCGGACCCUGGACUCGGACUACGCUCCCUUGCAGCAGUUUUUCGUAGUGAUGGAGCACUGUCUUAAGCAUGGCCUGAAAACCAAGAAGACAUUUCUUGGACAGAACAAGUCCUUUUGGGGUCCACUGGAGUUAGUGGAGAAGUUAACACCUGAAGCAGGUGAAAUCACAGCCAGUGUGAAAGACCUCCCUGGGCUCAAGACACCAAUUGGGCGAGGGAGAGCUUGGCUUCGUCUUGCCUUGAUGCAGAAAAAACUGUCAGAUUACAUGAAGACUCUGAUCAACAGAAAGGAUCUGCUUAGUGAAUUUUAUGAAGCAAAUGCACUGAUGAUGGAGGAAGAAGGAGCAGUCAUUGCUGGGCUGUUAGUGGGUCUGAAUGUUAUUGAUGCAAAUCUCUGCAUGAAGGGAGAAGAUCUGGAUUCUCAGGUUGGUGUUAUUGAUUUCUCUAUGUACCUAAAGGAUGGAGGACCUACAAGCAAGAGCACAGAGGGAGAUGGACAGAUUACUGCAAUACUUGACCAGAAAAAUUACGUUGAAGAAUUGAACAGACAUUUGAGCGCUUCCGUGAACAAUCUCCAGGCUAAGGUUGAUGCACUAGAAAAAUCAAACACAAAGUUAACAGAAGAACUUGCAGUUGCAAAUAACAGGAUCAUAACUCUACAGGAAGAUGUAGAACGGGUAAAGGAAGAGAGUUCUCAACUUCUGGAGUCCACCUGCAAGGUGUCAAAAUCAGAUGGAAGUGCCAAUGGACAAGUACUUGGAGAAGCACGGAAACAAAUCAAAGAGGAAACUCGAUUGCGUUUGGAUGUGGAAAAGGAGCUUGACGUUCAGAUCGGCAUGAAGCAGGAAAUGGAGAUUUCCAUGAAGAUGUUGGAGAAGGAUGUUUGUGAGAAACAGAAUGCUUUACUGGCACUUAGGCAGCAACUGGAUGACUUGAGAAUUUUCAACCAGGAGCUCUCCCAUAAGUUGCAGACCUCUGAUGGAGCCAUGAAGCAGAAGAAUGAAAUCAUCAACCGUUUAGAUGAGACCGCAAACCAGAUGGCUGGGACAAUAAAACAACUGGAGCUGAGUUCUUCUGGCUCAAAUCCAGAUUCCAACAGGCCAAGCUGGGGAGGAAUCUUGCCCAUGAAACCAAUCAGCUCUUUAAGCAGGAAUUUGGGGACAAAAUCGAGAGUUUGCAGCUGGAGGUGGAGAAACUAAGAAGGGAGAGGAGCUCAAGGCGAUCAAAUGAGAAUUUUCUUUUGCAAACAUUGGUGGAGAAAAAGCAGAGCGUUGAUUUCUGUGUGUGAGUUCAGGAUGGUUGGUUUCAGCUGUCCAUAUGAAGCCCCAAGGCUUCGGGGUUAACACUGUCAUCACAACUCUGGAUCAAAGUUUUUUUUUUUUUUUCUUCUGACCUUUUCAGGGCCGCUUCAACAGAAGAGAAAUAAACUGUUUCUCAACUAUAACAUUUUUGGUUCACAUAACCAAAAGUGUAACUUAAAUAUGCCAUACUAUGAAAGCAUCAGGCUAAACAGAAUUUUUUGAGUGUUAAUCGUAACACUUCAAAGGUAAAUACAAUUUAUUCUAUAAGCAUAACUGUGCAUUAACUCCUUUUACCUAACCUAUUUAAACUACCUUAUAAGUUUUCUCUAUUUUAAGGUUGCUGCCGCAAAACAUAGAUGAGCAGGUAACUCUGUUGAAGUUGUAAAGACCUUAAGACAUUGUAACCAUAUGCAUAUGAUAUGAACUAUACAGGGUUAAAUAUGAUUUAGGAGAAACUUAUAAAUGGGCUGAAGGUACAUUUUUUUAGGAUGGUUACACUAUUUUAGAAUGCACGUAUUAGCUGCCUCAGAUAUGGAAGUGGAAGACUAUAAUAAAAAAAAUGUGGGCCAGCUUAUGGGUCUUUGAACUAGGACUGAAAAAUAAUCACUGAUUUAUGGGAAUACAACAAUUAUAACUACAGUGGAAACCUCUUAUACUGAUCGCAUCUGUCUGGGUGAAAUUGAUCACUAUAAGUGGAUGAUCGUUAUAUCCAAUUUUUCUUUGUCUCAGGCAGAUUACCAUCUACUGUAAAUGACAUUUGUAUAUUAAAUACAUGCAUAUAAAGUAAUAAAAUGGAGAGCGUCGCUAUACACUGAAUUUUCUUGACUCUGAAAAUACAUUAAAAAUCAAACAAAUAUUGUACAAAUUAAAUUACUGAACUGUGUAUAAUUAAAAUAUACUAUGACAGUAUAACACUGUACAUAAAAUACAGCUUAUAAUAGUUUUGCUGCUGCAUCUUAUUGGCUUGUUUUUGACAGUUUAUCAUAAGCUUUGAGUUUAUAUUUGUCAUUGAGAGAAAAUUACUUUUUUUCCUGUCAUGUUUUCUGUGUAAGCAGCAUUAGCUUACACAGAAAACCUAAGGUAGCCUAGCCAGUCAGGUUACCGCAAGGCAAACUAUGGCUAUCAAAGUAAAGUAAAAAAAUAUAUAUAUAUUAUUUUACUUUUCUCCGUAUAUUGUUAUGAAUAAAGAACCCCAAAAUGAACACUGUAACAGGACACAGCACAGCUGAUUACUACAAGCAAAUGAUUUAAACAGUAUUUCUACAGGAUUGAUUCUGUUCCAAAAAAUUUUAUGUAUAUAACCAUGAUCACUAUAAGCGGUUUCUACUGUGUAAUGUAUGUGAUUAAUCAUAAGAAGUGGGUUUAGAUUAUGAUAUAAAUUACCUUCUCUAACUGUGUGUUCUUUUUAUGUCAAGUACUUUAAUAGCCUGCAGUAGUCUGCUUGAAAUCGUGUGGGGAAGGGGACUCCAUGACAAUGCAGAAGAAACAGGAAAAGAUUGCUACCAAAGUUUCAUGGCAGUUGACAUUCCCUAAUCUUCAGUCAACCUUACAGAAAUCUACGAUAUGUGCCUUUUAAUUUUGACUACUCACGGUGAAUGUGUCUUUUUUUCCAAGAAAUGAUCCACAGCUCAACAUAUUAAGUGAAAAUAAUGGGUAAAUCAAAACAUAUGAUAUAUUGAAGAAAAAGGCCUUAAUCUGGACAAAUAUCAUUAUGGACCACAAUGGCUGACAAUUGAAAUGAAUAACUUUUCUGGCUGUUGUUGUAUUACUUGAAUACAGUUGUAUUAAUUAACUUUGUAAUGUAUGGGUAUCAUAAACAUUAUCUGUUGCAUUCAAAUCUGGCUUGAAUAUAUUCAUGAUAGUGUCUUUGGACACAUAUAGCUUUAAAUGAGUUAUUGAAUAUUUUACACAUUUUUCUCAGAAUAAAUUUUGCCAAUUCUACCACAAUGUAUUUUUUUAACCAGUUUGUGGUUAAAAUGUUAUGUAGUUUUAUAUUUGACUUUCUCACUAAUACAAGAACUGAACAUGUGUAAGAAAUUGAAUAUAAUAAACAUUUGAGAUGCAAAUAAAAAUAAAAAGAUUUCAACAA